rnacentral:rRNA from 1 species
GACGAACGCUGGCGGCGCGCCUAACACAUGCAAGUCGAACGGAGUCACGAGGAGCUUGCUUUUCUCGACUUAGUGGCGAACGGGUGAGUAACGCGUGAGUAACCUGCCCUGGAGUGGGGGACAACAGUUGGAAACGACUGCUAAUACCGCAUAAGCCCACGGAUCCGCAUGGAUCUGCGGGAAAAGGAUUUAUUCGCUUCAGGAUGGACUCGCGUCCAAUUAGCUAGUUGGUGAGGUAACGGCCCACCAAGGCGACGAUUGGUAGCCGGACUGAGAGGUUGAACGGCCACAUUGGGACUGAGACACGGCCCAGACUCCUACGGGAGGCAGCAGUGGGGGAUAUUGCACAAUGGGGGAAACCCUGAUGCAGCGACGCCGCGUGGAGGAAGAAGGUUUUCGGAUUGUAAACUCCUGUCGUGAGGGACGAUAAUGACGGUACCUAACAAGAAAGCACCGGCUAACUACGUG